rnacentral:rRNA from 1 species
UCCUGGCUCAGAUUGAACGCUGGCGGCAGGCUUAACACAUGCAAGUCGAGCGGUAGCACAGGGGAGCUUGCUCCCUGGGUGACGAGCGGCGGACGGGUGAGUAAUGUCUGGGAAACUGCCUGAUGGAGGGGGAUAACUACUGGAAACGGUAGCUAAUACCGCAUAACGUCGCAAGACCAAAGAGGGGGACCUUCGGGCCUCUUGCCAUCAGAUGUGCCCAGAUGGGAUUAGCUAGUAGGUGGGGUAAUGGCUCACCUAGGCGACGAUCCCUAGCUGGUCUGAGAGGAUGACCAGCCACACUGGAACUGAGACACGGUCCAGACUCCUACGGGAGGCAGCAGUGGGGAAUAUUGCACAAUGGGCGCAAGCCUGAUGCAGCCAUGCCGCGUGUGUGAAGAAGGCCUUCGGGUUGUAAAGCACUUUCAGCGAGGAGGAAGGUGGUGAGCUUAAUACGCUCAUCAAUUGACGUUACUCGCAGAAGAAGCACCGGCUAACUCCGUGCCAGCAGCCGCGGUAAUACGGAGGGUGCAAGCGUUAAUCGGAAUUACUGGGCGUAAAGCGCACGCAGGCGGUUUGUUAAGUCAGAUGUGAAAUCCCCGGGCUCAACCUGGGAACUGCAUUUGAAACUGGCAAGCUAGAGUCUCGUAGA